rfam:Equus caballus chromosome 29, whole genome shotgun sequence.
CGUAUCCGGUAGUCUGCAUCCAAGAUUCAACCUACCAUGGAUCAUAAACAUAGUACUGUACAUGAUCCGAGGUUGGUUGAAUCUGUGGAUGUGGAACAUGUGGAUAC